rnacentral:rRNA from 1 species
CUCAAUUGGAAAGAGGAGUGGUGGACGGGUGAGUAACACGUGGGUAACCUACCCAUCAGAGGGGGAUAACACUUGGAAACAGGUGCUAAUACCGCAUAACAGUUUAUGCCGCAUGGCAUAAGAGUGAAAGGCGCUUUCGGGUGUCGCUGAUGGAUGGACCCGCGGUGCAUUAGCUAGUUGGUGAGGUAACGGCUCACCAAGGCCACGAUGCAUAGCCGACCUGAGAGGGUGAUCGGCCACACUGGGACUGAGACACGGCCCAGACUCCUACGGGAGGCAGCAGUAGGGAAUCUUCGGCAAUGGACGAAAGUCUGACCGAGCAACGCCGCGUGAGUGAAGAAGGUUUUCGGAUCGUAAAACUCUGUUGUUAGAGAAGAACAAGGACGUUAGUAACUGAACGUCCCCUGACGGUAUCUAACCAGAAAGCCACGGCUAACUACGUGCCAGCAGCCGCGGUAAUACGUAGGUGGCAAGCGUUGUCCGGAUUUAUUGGGCGUAAAGCGAGCGCAGGCGGUUUCUUAAGUCUGAUGUGAAAGCCCCCGGCUCAACCGGGGAGGGUCAUUGGAAACUGGGAGACUUGAGUGCAGAAGAGGAGAGUGGAAUUCCAUGUGUAGCGGUGAAAUGCGUAGAUAUAUGGAGGAACACCAGUGGCGAAGGCGGCUCUCUGGUCUGUAACUGACGCUGAGGCUCGAAAGCGUGGGGAGCCAAACAGGAUUAGAUACCCUGGUAGUCCACGCCGUAAACGAUGAGUGCUAAGUGUUGGAGGGUUUCCGCCCUUCAGUGCUGCAGCAAACGCAUUAAGCACUCCGCCUGGGGAGUACGACCGCAAGGUUG